CGAACGCUGGCGGCGCGCUUAACACAUGCAAGUCGAACGGAAAGGCCUGCUUUCCCUUGUGGAUUGCGGGUACUCGAGUGGCGAACGGGUGAGUAACACGUGAGUGAUCUGCCCCCAACUUGGGUAUAAGCCUGGGAAACUGGGUCUAAUUCCCGAUAGGACUGCAGGGUGGUGCCUGUGGUGGAAAACGAUUUUCUAGUGGUUGGGGAUGAGCUCGCGGCCUAUCAGCUUGUUGGUGGGGUAAUGGCCUACCAAGGCGGCGACGGGUAGCCGGCCUGAGAGGGUGGACGGCCACAUUGGGACUGAGAUACGGCCCAGACUCCUACGGGAGGCAGCAGUGGGGAAUAUUGGACAAUGGGCGGAAGCCUGAUGCAGCGACGCCGCGGGGGGGAUGACGGCCUUCGGGUUGUAAACUCCUUUCGACCGCGAGGAAGCCACCUGGUUGGAAGGGUGGUGACGGUAGUGGUAGAAGAAGCACCGGCUAACUACGUG
rnacentral:rRNA from 1 species